UAAACUGCAAACUGCGUGAAACGCUGCCCAUUAUUAAUUUGUUGAAGCAUGCCAACAUUACAUCGUAAUUCCAGUGCUACAAAUCUGUAAUCGAUAUUGCAUGAGAAAUUUGAUCGGAAAAAACUUGUUUGAAACCUAUUAUUAUGGCAGGAAGAUUCAUGAAUUUGAUUGGUCUAUUGUACCUGGCUCUCUUUACACGUGUAGGGAGUUAUAUCGAAAUAGCUUUUGCUUCGCUUGCAUUAUUGUUCCUUCUGUGUGUCCUGAUAGUUUGCACGUGGAUUGGAUGUGAGAAGGUAUGUGAAAAGCUUUCAUGGCUUCGAAGACACCGUGGAAAUACUCCUGGAACUGCAGGUUUUGGUAGCUCAACUACUGUGAGUGAAUAAGUCCAAACAGAGAAGACAAGAGGAUAGAAACUUCCAGCUGUCUGACUUCUAAGCUACCUACACAGUACUUGUACUCUCGAAAGAGCAGAAGGCACAGAUCAUUCCAUGUUAGGUCACUGCCAAACUCUGCCUCGUCAAUGCACUUUGCCUCCUACCAUAAUGAACAUCAUCUUUUUUCCACUUGGAUUCCGCAUUUGAUCAAUUGACACGAAACAUGAAAGAUAAUAACAUUCCAGUGAUGGCUGAAUUGUGCUGUGAUAACACUGCCUUUAUAAUGAUUAAAAAGUACAAACAUUGGAAA